UGGCUCUCGCAUCGAUGAAGAACGCAGCGAAAUGCGAUAAGUAAUGUGAAUUGCAGAAUUCAGUGAAUCAUCGAAUCUUUGAACGCACCUUGCGCCCUUUGGUAUUCCGUAGGGCAUGCCUGUUUGAGUGUCAUUAAAUUAUCAACUCUCAGAUCUUUUUCCGAGAGCUUGGACUUGGAGUGUGCUGGACGGUCAACGGUCAGCUCCUCUUGAAAUGUAUAUGCGGAACCCUGCCGAUCAGCUCCAGCGUGAUAAUUAUCAACGUUGCCGCUCGUGAAGGCGUUCGGAUCUGCCUAAAACGGUCGCAUGUAUGCGCGACAAGGGGCUUAAACACCCGAUGACAAUUUGACCUCAAAUCAGGUAGGAUUACCCGCUGA
rnacentral:misc_RNA from 1 species